UUUUUUUUUUUUUUUUUAAUCCCAGCAGUUUCAGCCCUCAAUUUUUCCCUGAACCCUCUAGGCAAAGGUUUACUAUUCUUUGCCUCUAACAAAGAAGUUUUAGUGGUGUGUGUGUGUGUAACAGCUCAUGGCCAAAAACUGUAUCUUAGUGAGUUAUAGAGAAAAAAAUACUUGAAAAAAUAUGUGACAAGUUGUUACAUUCUCUUAAUUCUCUCUAGAGUGAGUACAAUAAAGUAAAACUUCAUUAUAUCAUGGAAUAUAAUUUGUACAAAAUAAUACUACUGCUUGCAUGUUGAAAGAUUAGUUCUGCCUGGAUCCAGUAUAUGUGUCAUAUUUCUGGAAAGUCAUUUGACAUGAAUCAGUCUAAAAAAUAAAACAAGCAGGUGCAUAAUAUAUUACCCAGAAUAAAAUAAACAUGGCUCGGUUUUUAAGUGCCAGAGUUUAUUUCGUCCAUUAAAUCUCCAGUAGCUACUGCAUGUUUGGCAUAGAGGCUUGGCGCCCUCUUGCGUCCAUUUGGGACAGUCUGUCCAUGGAAUUUUUGAGCAAUGUGUAUCUGUUGCCCCUCUUAUUCAACCCCUAAAAAAUUAUAAGAGAAGACUCAACGGAAAUCAAUCUCCCCUUUUCCACAUGAAUUAUACCACCAGUUAUAAAAGUCCUACUCAGUUAAAAUAUUAUGCUAUAAAAUUUCAAAUUUCAAAUAAACGUUUCUGUACUAUGUGACUCCCUGAGUAUUUGAACAGUUUUCUGUAGAUUAUUAUAAGCGAAAGCUUUUUCAUUUCCUUUCACAAUUACUAGGUCUUCGUAUUGAUUAGCUAAUCCUUCAAGCUUUUAGUUCUUAAGUACCUCUCCUCUAAGUAGCUCUUAAAGCUUAUUAUUUUUACUCAACAUUUCCACAGGAAAACACUAUACAAGGUAUUUCUACAAAUGAAACCAUAAAUGAUAUUGUCUACAGUGACUACAUCUGUACAGUUUUGUUUUAGAUACCAGUUUUUAAUGUCACCGUUGCUAUACCCAUCGAAAAGAUGAACAUAAGCAAAUUGCCAAACCACGACCUCACACAGACUGGUUUCAUAUGUUGGCAAUUACAGUACAAAAGGUCACGCUGUACAUUAAAUUUAAUUUCCCCAAUUCAGAUCUAAUAGGGCAUCUACCUUGGUUAUUUCCUGGUUUGGUGUACAUAUCAUAAAAUGUGAAUUGGCAUCUAUAUCACAAACCAUCUGAACCUAUCCCUAUUUCUCAUUACUAAAAUUUAGUUCAAAUCACAUACAUCAAAAUCUAUUUAUAUUUACACUGUACGCAGAUAUAUAACCAUGUUCAUCUGGGCCACGGGCUUUAUUUCUCCUACAAGAUCAUUAAACUCCCCAAGCGAAUUCCCUGAACUUAACUCCGAAGGCAAAAACACUGGCAAACUGACAAGGGCUAUUUUAGAAGCUUCUAGAAGAUGCAAAGGAAAAAUAAAUGCCUUACACGUCAUGAGAGAGAUUGACAACCGUUGAGGACAAACAGGCAGUUUGCAGCCGAUAUCAUUAGAAGCAGCUGUGAGGCUGAAUGAGCCCAUCUGACAUAAAGGCAGAGAACCAGGGCUUCAACCAUGACUGCCACAGACCAGCCAGAGACCUGGGUCAAAUCUGCUCAUUUCUCUGAACCUCAGUGUCAUCACCAGUAAAAUGGGGAGAAUUCUAACUUUACUGAUUAUUAAUGAAUGGCAUAUAAUACUCAAGGAAAAGGGUACAAGGAAAAAGAUGCAGUUGGUGAACCAAUGCAGUUUAGAAAUUUAAUACAGGCCUAAAAGGAAUUAUACUAAUGAUUUCCUCAUUCUGGGGGAUAUGUUUUAAUGUUUUCAGACCCUGAGAAUUAGUCUCAAAUCAGAGGUAAGUACAAAAUUACCGAGACAAACCUAGGAAGUUCUGGUCUGGAUUUGGGAGGAAUUUUGGAGGACAGUUCACCAUGGCAAAGAGUCUGAGGUCAUUUCUUCACCCCCGCGAGACACACACACACGACUUCCUACCCUUUAUUAGUCAAACACUAUGAUAUAGACAUUAUCUUCAUACGAUGCUGCCCGCAUCCUUUUUUUUUAAUUGUCUUUUCUAUGCUUAGAACGUGUAAGAGUUUCACUUAAUAACUUGUUUCCCUCCUUCUUCCUUCCUAACUUUCCCUCAACUCCUUUCCCCUCAGAUAGGAGUUUUGGCCAAGUAUUUGAUUUUCAUUUUUUGUUUUUUGUCUUUUGCCUUUUUAGGGCCGCUCCCGCGGCAUAUGGAGGUUCCCAGGCUAGGGGUCAAAUCGAAUCAGAGUUGUAGCUGCAGGCCUACACCAGAGCCACAGCAAAGCCAGAUCCGAGCCUUGUCUGCGACCUACACCACAGCUCACAGCAACACCAGAGCCUUAACCCACUGAGUAAGGCCAGGGAUCGAACCUGUGUCCUCAUGGAUACCAGUCAGAUUCGUUUCCACUGAACCACAAGGGGAACUCCUGAAAGUAUUUUUUAGAUGUGAUUUACAUUUAUUUAAAUCAGUAGACUUUGAAUAAAGCAGAGGGCCUCCGUGAUGCCAAUGGGCCCCAUCCAAUCAGUUGAAGGCCUUAAGAGCAAAGACUGAGGUUUCCCUAAGAAGCAAUUCUCCUUAGGACUACACCAUAGAGGCCUGCUUUUUGCAAUGCAGAAUUCAGACCCCAGAACUCAACAUCAACACUUGCCUGAUUCUCCAGCCUGCCAGCCUGCCCUAUUGAUUGCAAACUUGCCACCCCCACAGUUCCAUGAGCCAAUUCCUUAAAAUAAAUCAUUCUCUUUUAUAUAUAUAUUCAUAUGUACAAAACACAUAUACAAAAGAUACAUCUUCUAUAUAUGUAUUUUUUACAUCUUUUAUAUAUAUUUUAUAUAUAUCCCUGACUAAUACACUAAUACAUAUGUCUAUAUAUAUGACUAAUACAUAAUAUGUAAAUUAUAUAUAUUUAUCCAUGACUAAUAUAGCAAUACAUAUGUCUCUAUGUAUAUGACUAAUUCAUAAUAUAUAUACACCACUGACUAAUACAGAUAUCAUGAGGCAUAGUGAAGUUGGGAGAAUUUAGCCUCCAGGUUGAUUUUGAAUGGGUACAGGUAAGGUAGUGGGAAGCAGAUUUAGGCUUACCAUCCAUUCAUGCCUUCAAUGAAUAUUCUUUGAGUAUCAAAUAAAGAGCUAAAAUUUGCUGAGGACUUCCUAUGUUCAAAGCACCCUUCCAGAGGCUUUCCAAGCAUCAUUUCAUGGAAGCGUCAAGACAGAUAAGUGCAUUAUAAUCCCCAUUUUAUGCAAAAGGAAAUUAAAUCACAGACAGCUUAAUCAAUUACUCAAGAUGGCACAAAAAGGCGGUAAAGGAAGGGGCUUUGACCAGGCGCUUUGCUCUAAAGCCACCAAGCUGGGUGACAAUCACCUCCUGAGUGCCUGUCAGGCAUGGCAUUCAGGGGAGUCAAACAGAUGCAACUGGCCCCAAUUCCUUAAAACAAAUUGUGUGUGUGCGUGUGUGUGUCCACACACAUCCUAUUGGUUUGGUUUAGCUGAAGAACUCCAGCUAAUACACGCUCUCACACAUGUACAUGUGUUUUACACAUAUCUUGUUGCUUCCCAUUCCACACCUUUGCAUAAAUGGCUAUUUCCUCUUGGAAUGGUCUUCUCCCCUUGUCCGCGCAGCAUUGCUUGUCCAGCCAGGACAAACCCCCUGCUAACAUCAUUUCCUCUGGGAAGCCUUCCUUGCUGACCUCUUGCAGCGGCAUUCAUCACUGCCUCCUCUGGGGUCUUGUCUGCCUUGCACCCUAUUACAAACAUCAGUGCCCCUUCAUUCAUCUUUGCCUACAAAGUCCCUGCCUCUGUGCCAUGCCCACGGUUGGCCCUCCCUGAGUUGAUCACAAGGUAGAAGUGGGUUUAAUGCAUAUUUAUAUGAUGCCAAGUGCAGGCUGCGUCCUGACUACUGACAAGGAGGGAAGGGUCCAGGGUGUUGGGAAGUUGCCUGUGCUCAGCCCUGGCUAGAGUCAGGAAACCUGCAACUAGUUAUUUGGUGACUGUCUGACUGGGACAAAGGCCCUGAGGAGUGUGUGGGUUCAAAGGAGAUAAGGAAUCAGGGAUAUGGAGGAGGACAGGGCAGGAGUUCCUGUUGUGGCUCAGGGGAAAUGAAUCUGACUAGCAUCCAUGAGGACAUAGGUUCAAUCUCUGGCCUCACUCAGUGGGUUAAGGAUCCAGCAAUGACAUGAGCUGUGGUGUAGGUCACAGACACAGCUUGGAUCUGGUAUUGCUGUGGCUGUGGCAUAGGCUGGCAGCUGCAGUUCUGAUUUGACCCAUUGCCUAGGAACCUCCAUAUGCGGCAGGUGUGGCCCUAAAAAGACAAAAAAAAAGGCAGAAUGGUGUGAACUGAUGGACAGGGUGGGCUGAAGAAAGACAGAAGCCACUGUGCCUGAGUUUUGGAAAGGAAGGUCCUGAGUAAUGUAGUCAGAGAAGNAAAGGGGAAAAAAAAAAAAAAAAAAA
rnacentral:lncRNA from 1 species